CAAGGAAUAGUUUAAUUAGAAUUUCAGCUUUGGGUGUUGAAGGUGGGGUUUAGAUACCUUUUCCUUG
rnacentral:tRNA from 1 species